GACGAGCCACACGAACGUUAUUCGGAAUUACUGGGCUUAAAGGGUGCGUAGGCGGCGCGGAAAGUUGGGUGUGAAAUCCCUCGGCUCAACCGAGGAACUGCGCCCAAAACUACCGUGCUCGAGGAAGAUAGAGGUGAGCGGAACUCACGGUGGAGCGGUGAAAUGCGUUGAUAUCGUGAGGAACACCCGUGGCGAAAGCGGCUCACUGGGUCUUCUCUGACGCUGAUGCACGAAAGCUAGGGGAGCAAACGGG
rnacentral:rRNA from 1 species